AGGCUUAACACAUGCAAGUCGAGCGAGAAAGAGGGGCAACCCUUGAGUAAAGCGGCGGACGGGUGCGUAACACGUGGAUAAUCUGCCUUCUGGCGGGGAAUAACAGUCCGAAAGGAUUGCUAAUGCCGCAUGUGUCUGCGUGGUCUCCGGGCUUUGCAGAGAAAGAGGGCGCCCGCAAGGGGCUCUCACCAGAAGAUGAGUCCGCGUCCCAUCAGCUAGUUGGCGGGGUAAUGGCCCACCAAGGCAGAGACGGGUAGCUGGUCUGAGAGGAUGACCAGCCACACUGGGACUGAGACACGGCCCAGACUCCUACGGGAGGCAGCAGUGGGGAAUAUUGGGCAAUGGGCGCAAGCCUGACCCAGCCAUGCCGCGUGAGUGAUGAAGGUCUUCGGAUCGUAAAGCUCUGUGGGAAGGGACGAAAAACCGGGGGUUAAUACCCCCCGGCUUGACGGUACCUUCU
rnacentral:rRNA from 1 species